CUAGAGCACUUUGAUUGGCACAAUGUAUUUUAUAAUCCUUUUGCUUGAUCCCUAGUUCUUGGAGAAAUCGCUUUAAUCACAACAUUUCUUUACCAGCUUCUAUUGCUGCAAUAUAUUCUGCUUCUGUUGUAGAUAAAACAACACACUUUUGUAGUCUUAACCGCCAUGAAACAGCUCUCCCUGCAAAAGUGUAGAGAAAUCCUGUAGUAGAUUUUCUACUAUCAAAAUAUCCCGCCAUAUCUGAAUCUGUAUAACCUUCUAAGUUUGGAUCAGCUCCCCCGUAGCACCGACAUAUCUUUGAUGUACCUUUGAGGUACCUGAGAAUCCACUUGACCGUCUCCCAAUGCUCUCUUCCAGGAUUAGAGAGAAAACGACUCACCAUGCCCACUGCAUGAACAAUAUCUUGUCUUAUGCAUACCAUGACAUACAUCAGGCUUCCAACUGCUGAAGAAUAAGGUACCGAUGACAUCUCCUCUAUCUCUUUCUUGGAUGAGGGGCAUGAAUUCUUGCUCAACUUGAAGUGGUUGGCCAGUGGAAUGCUGACAGUUUGGCUUUAUGCAUGUUGAAUCUCCUGAUCACUCGUUCAACAUACUUCUCUUGAGAUAGUCACAACCUUUUAUUCUUCCUAUCUCGAGUUAUGUGCAUUCCUAAAAUCUAUUAAGCUGGGUCUAAGUCCUUCAUGUCGAAGGACUUGAAGAGUUUCUUCUUCAGCUGCUUGAUUUUUGUUGCAUCUUGUCCGACAAUCAGCAUGUUGUCUACAUACAACAAAAGAGCAACAAAAUCGUCAUCCGAAAAGUGUUGAAUAUAAACGCACUGAUUUGCAGCUGUUCUUUUAUAGCCUUGACUCACCAUGAAAGAGUCGAACUUUUUGUACCACUGCCUGGGUGCUUGCUUAAGACCAUAUAAGCUCUUCUUUAGCUUGCAAACGAAGUUUUCUUUUCCUGAAACUUCAAAACCUUAUGGCUGCUCCAUAUAAAUUUUUUCAUAUAAAUCACCAUGAAGAAAUGCUAUUUUGACAUCCAUCGGCUCAAGCUCUAGAUUCAGACUGGCUACUAAUCCAAGGAUAACUCAAAUUGAAGCCAUUUUUACAGCAGGUGAAAAAAUCUCGUCAAAGUCAAUUCCCUUCUUCUAAAGAAAUCCUUUGACAGCCAAACGGGCUUUAUGUUUUACCACCUUUUCACUGCCAUCGUUCUUGAGUUUGAAAACCCAUUUAUUCCUUAAUGUCUUCUUUCCCUUUGAAAGCUCAACUAACUCAUAUGUUGAUUCUUCUGCAGUGACUCCAUCUCAUCCUGCAUUGCUUGUAUCCACUUAUCUUUGUCCAAAUGAGUUUGUGCUUUUUGAAAACUCUCCGGCUCUCCUUCGUCAGCGAGCAAAAUGUACUCUGAUUCUGGAUAUCUCGUUGAUGGAAUCCAUCCUCAUUCAGAUCUUCUUACCUGUGGAUCGUUGAUCUCAGGAGGUGCAUCAUCAUCUGGUUGAUGUGAUUGUCCGACAAUUUCUGAUGAAGAGGAUUGUGACUCUCCCGAUCAAUAUCCUCUUCUUCAUCCUCCUGUUCUGCUUCCGACAUUUCCUCAUGCAUAUCGUCAUUAUCUAUGGUGAAUUGUGUUGGUGCUAGAUCUGGAACAAUAUUCUGGGCACCAAAAUUGGAAUUAGGAGAUAUUGUGGGCUUCUCAAUGUCUGGUUUUCAUGGAACACUACGUCCUUGCUUCUGAUGACCUUCUUUGUCUUUGGGUCCCAUAAUCUGUAUCCAAAUUCCUCAUCUCUAUAGCCUAUAAAGAUGUAUGGAGUGGUCUUUGCAUCUAGCUUUUGUUUUAGCUCCUUGGAUACAUGUGCAAAGGCUAAACAGCCAAAUACUCUCAAGUGAGAGUAGGAGGGAUAUUUACCAGACCAUACUUUCUCCGAAAUUUCAAAAUUCAACAGUUGAUCUGUUGAUCAGGUAGCAGGCAGUUCGAACAGCUUCUCCCCAAAAUGGCUUUGGCAGCUUAGCCAUACUUAUCAUGCUUCUGACCUUUUCCAAGAUCGUCUGAUUCAUCCUCUCGGCGACUCCAUUAUGCUGUGGGGUGUGUGGUACCGUCUUCUCAUGUACUUGACUCCAUUAUCUGUGCGGAGACACUUCAGCUUCUUUCCUGUUUCACGCUCUAUCAUGGCAUGAAACAAUUUGAAGUAAUCCAAAACUUGGUCCUUUGUCUUCAAGAAAUAUACCCACAACUUUCGAGAAGCAUCAUCAAUGAAUGUUAGAAAAUAUUUGUUACAGCCUAGCGAUUCAACC
rnacentral:lncRNA from 1 species